GCAUGAAGUUGGAAUCGCUAGUAAUCGCGGAUCAGCAUGCCGCGGUGAAUACGUUCCCGGGCCUUGUACACACCGCCCGUCACACCAUGAGAGUCGGGAACACCCGAAGUCCGUAGUCUGACCGCAAGGGGACGCGGCCGAAGGUGGGUUCGAUAAUUGGGGUGAAGUCGUAACAAGGUAAC
rnacentral:rRNA from 1 species